GAGCACGGAAUUGCUGAAGUUGUGAAGGUUGAUGCUGUGAAUGCGCUCGGUCAUCCCCUUGCAACUGAUGUCACCUGCAGCAUGUCAACGCAGACACAAAACAGGGCAUGGGUCAGAUCUAGCUGGUUGCAUUCCUAACACCUAGGUUUCAGAGUAAAAAUACAGAGUCAGCUUGUGAUGGCAUUCCCUCAAAACAUGGAAGGAAUUGCAGUAAUGAAAGUCAUCAUGUAUUCUAAGAGACUGUUCUGCGAGAGCACAACACAGACGGGGCUAAAGCAGGGAUUGUCUAAGCCCAGUGUGGAGGAACCAUCAAGGAUUUCAGCACGUUUUUUUAGCCAUUGUGAGAAGCAAAAGUGCUCAGGAGUUAAGAGAAGCAGACGUCCGAAAUUAUCUCCAUGCAUUACCAAAAACCGUGGGCACCACGGCACGGGGAAAACUUACCAGGUACAAUGAGCCAGUGACUGUUACUGAAUUUCUUAAGAUUACACUUUUCCCAACUACUGCAGACUGCUUCAGAAUAGAAGAAGACAACUCUCAUGCCAUCAAGCCGACGGACUUUCAAAAAAAUAAAAGAUGCAUUUCUUUACUUGUAAGUAUUUGUCUUUGCAAAGGGCUCUCUGAUAUGGUAGCACAGAAGUUUGCACAUUCUAAGGAUCUGAUGUUUUGCCCUCUUCGGGUAUCCCGGCUGGAAGGAGCUACGGUGAAAGGGCACCUAAGGUGAAUGGACAGAUUGUAGAUGGGUGCACACAGGAAAAUGUACAGCUCCUACAAUGUAUUCUGAGGUAAGAGAGCACACAAGUCCAUUCCCUAUAAUUUGAAAAUCUCUCUUCUUUUUUUAUUUUUUAGAGACAGGAUCUCACUCUGUCACCCAGGGUGGAAUGCAGUGGGAUGAUCAUGGCUCACUGAAGCCUUAACUUCCUGGGCUCAGGUGAUCCUCCCACCUCAAAUUCCCAAGUAGCUGGACUACAAGUGCACACCACUAUGCCCCGCUAACUGUUUUGUAGAGAUGGGGUUUCACUAUGUUGCUGAGGCUGGUCUCAAACUCCUGGGCUCAAGUGAUAAAUCCACACUGGCCUCCCAAAGUGUUGGGAUUACAGGCGUGAGCCACCAUGCCCAGCGUGAAAAUCUCUUAUUGACUAGAAUGCACUUGAAGACAAAAAGGAACUUAACAGGUUAACACUAGAAUGUAAUGCUAUAAUAUUAAUAACACUCUAACCCUUCCCUAUACCAAGAAGACAACAUUCAGAGAGAUUUGAAACUUCUUUCAGCCCCAGUUUCCUUAUCUGUAAAUGGGGUGUUUUGUAAUAAGAUUAUGCAUAUUAGUCCUCUUUCAUUUUUAGGAAAAAAAAACAUACAAAUGGGGGAAUAAAAGAAGGCAAAGAGAUAAUGGAGAAACUUCCCAGUCUAUUCAGGCCUGAAUCCAAGAAGGGACAAGAAGAAGGGCACUGGCUUUUCCUCGAAGUGAAGGAUGUAACUGUCUUACACACAAUCUCCUCCCAUAGAUCUAGGGCUUUUCAGCCUCAGUCGUUCUCAGGGGGAAAGGAUGGGGACCUGCAACAACUUUCACUUAGGCUGCAUCAAUUUUAGUUCAUAUUAAUAAUUUUCAAGCACUUAAAACUGUAGCCGACACUCAAAUUCACGGAGCGCUGGCUGUUUUUCUGGUGCUGCUUUAAGGGCUUUACAUGUAGUGUUCCAUCGAAUCCUUCUAAUAACCCUAUGAGAUGCAUACUAUUUUUAUUCUCAUUAUGCAAUUAUGCACAUGAGGAAAUGGAAACAUAGGGAGGUUAAUUAAAGGCACAUAAAAUGCAUUCAUAGGCUGAAGUUCAUGUUAAAAAGAGCAAAUAAGUAGACCAUGGGGGUGAGAAAAUAUUUUCUGAAUAUUGGAAAACAACACAUAGCCCCAGUCUUAGUCCAUUAGCAACAUGUUCAAGAAAUAGCUUUAGCAGUCUGUUAUCAUACCUGCCCCCACCCUGAAGGCAUAUCGGAGGGACCCGAGAGGACAUCAGGAGCCAUUCUGCAUUGGGAUGUUCACAGGGACCUCUCCUCAUUGCUUCUAAGUUCACUCUUGGGUGCCAGGUUUGAGGGUGCAGAUUCUGAUUAGGAUAUGUCCUGGGGAAGUGGCUUUUUCCUUCUGUUAGUUCUCUGACCCUAAUGUAACAAAAUCUUUAAACCUGUGUCCCAGAACAACACGCAGGAAAGAAUAUGAACCUCUAAAAGAAAGGCCCAGUAAUGGUACCAGUAGAGUCCAAGGCCUCCAGGUCAAGAACUCCUGCUCUGGAGCAGGGCUGGAAGUGGGGGCACGCUUUGCCUGUAUCACUGCCCAGUGAAACCAGGCCUGCUUUGCAGUGCCUGUUAGCAUGUCAACCCAGGAUUACUUAGGCCACUUCAGGAAUCCCAGGAUCUAGUCACCCAUCUGGGACCUUUAGGUCAGGAAGAAAAUGGAAUGGGCUAGAUUUAUGAAAAUUGGAAAAAAUCCAGUCAGGUGUACCUAUAAAGACCUACAGUAUUUCCCUGAGAAAAUGACAUGUAUCCUUUACCCUGGGGUUAACUUCUAAAAGUUUUAGUUUAGAAUUUGCAUGUGUCUUUUCCAUUAGACACAGAGUUAUCUUUUGUAGUUCAAACUUAUAUGCACCUUUCUUUCAUUGUCUCCUUUACAUCUAAAUACCUGGUUAAGAUAUGAGGCAAAGAGAUAAUCAGUGAUUAUAUAGGGAAGAACGUGAUUACAGUAAAAAAUUGAAGGACAAAGUUAAUUCAGUUACUGCUUUUUGAAAUUCUUUGUAGUAUUCUACAUGCCACACCAAGCUUUUUUAAAAAUUCUGUACUCUUUGGUCUAAUAUCUUGGUAUAAAACUGAUAACAUAACCAAGCUAAAACUAGUGAGGAUAAAUAAGUAGGAGGAAACUCAUUUUUAGAAUUGGAGAGGAAAGGAAAAAACUCCUCAAGGUCAAUUUUGACAUCAACUAUAAAUUCAUUUGGCCUUGUGAAAUUAUAAAGACUCAUGUUCAACAUUGUUCCAUGUGGUUGUUUAUAUAAUUUUCAGUAGUGACAAAAUAAUCUCCUUAUUUAGUUUUACAGGUAAUUUAAUAGUAGAACAAAGUAUCGUUUGAUUCAGUUGGUUCCAGAUCACCAUCCUACAGUAGAAGUAUAUCAGAUACUUUUGUGUACAGGUGGGAUUGGCCUUUGGAAUGUCUUGGACCAUCACAGAAAGCAGCAUACUUUAAGUAAACAAAUUGAAACCCUCCCUACAAAUAAUGAAUUUGAGGAUGUCCCAUGACAAUGAAGGUGGCCUUGAGAACAACACAUAGGUUUGUUAUUAGUAAUUACAGAGCUACCUGAAUUGGGCAUAUCAUGAAAGAAGUACACAGAACAUGGCUUUUAAAGAAUUAUGCUUUGUCAUUUCAAAAACAAUUGUUUUUAAAAAUUGUUUUAAAAAUUGUUAAGAUGAUUUAAAUGUUCAAAGUGUAUGACACCUAUCCUCUGCUUAGUGUUCAGAGGUUACUGAGGGUAAGGAACUGAGUUAAUAUUUGUGAAGUAAUAAUACUUGUAAAACAUUAUUUCUCAUAAAAAAUAAUAGAAAGCAAUGUUGAGAAGAAGUAGAGAAAGAACCAGUAUAAUAUAAUUACUGCCUCACUGGGCUUGGGUAGUGCCUUCAAAUUCCUUUCACAUAUAUUUACCAUUCCAAUUGCCCUGUGAAAUGGAAGAUCUAAUUCCUUCUCACUUUGCCUAUUUAAUUGCAGAGUCUCCCUUAACACUGGUUUUUCUCAGUCUAUAAUGGGCUAGGAACUCUUGUAUCAUAAAAAUAUUCAUUACUCCACUUUUGAGUUACCCAUUCAUUAUUUCUUUUUAAAACAUUAAACUUGUACUUUGUAAUAGUUGCUUUCCCAUUUAUCCUAUGUUUGCUCCUGAACCCCUCUUUAUGGUCUUUUUUGUGACACAUCUGAUUCUGUUUUCUUGACAACAAUCAGGAGGCUAGUAAUCCCAAAACCUAAGGUAAUCUUUUCCUAGGUCUCUCCCUCGUUGGUGUCUGUGGCACCUGAUACUGACUGCUGAUCCUUCCUCUCCCUGAUGGUCUCUCUGCACUAUCCUGGUUUUUCUCCUAUCCCUUAGAACUCUCUUUUCUUUUCCUCUAUUUAUUCAUUCUUCAUUCUCUUUCUUAUCACUCAUGUAAAUAUUUCCCAAGGUUUUGCUUUCCUUUUUUCUCUCAACAAAGACUUCUUUGAAGUUUACUCCCAUAUUUAUGGCUUAUAGUGCUCUUGGCCAAAGUGUUUGCUAGUCCUAAUCUCACGCAUUCCUGCUGUGCCCCAGGACCCUGUUUGUAACUCAGUGUUAGUUGUCUCCACUGGGAACACCUGUGGUAGCUCAUACUCGGCACUAUAUAAAAUGGAAUUCAAUUUGAUUCCUUUAAAUGCUUUUCAUCUUUACUUGAUACCUUGGAGUUAUCUUUGAUAACUGCCUUUGUUGUAACUAACACUCAGCUCCCAGAGCUGUCUACCCUCAUCCACAAAAUCUGUUGCACCUGGAUCCUCCCCAU
ensembl:lncRNA ZBTB20-AS1 ZBTB20 antisense RNA 1